rnacentral:lncRNA from 1 species
GCUGUAGCAGGGGAGGCGCGGCCAAGACUGCACGCUCCACAGAGCCGGCAGGAGCCAGGAACAGGUGGGAGCCUCACCUUCCUGCCCAGCUGCAGCUGUGGAUUUGGGCAUCCCUGCACUCUCAGGGGUACAGGAACCCCCCUGCCCCUACAGGCUUGCCUGCCCAUGGCUGCUGGUGGGCCAGUCAGCACGUACUUCCUCCCUUCUGAAGCCCAUAAAAACUAGACUCAGCCAGACUCACAGACUUUGGGAUGACCUGCUAGGGGACAGGAGCUGCCCAUGGCAGUCUCCUCUCCUCUGAGGGCUGCACACUCGACAGGAUGACCGGCCUGCAGACAGGAGCUACCCACUCCAGGACUGCUCUCCGCUGACAGCUGCACCCAUUGGGAUAACCUGCCUGUGAAAAGAGCUACCCGCAGAGGCGGGC